rnacentral:rRNA from 1 species
AGGAUAAACGCUGGCGGCGUGCCUAACACAUGCAAGUCGAACGUCCUACGCAAGUAGGGAGUGGCGGACGGGUGAGUAACACGUGGGCAAUCUACCUUUCGGUGAGGAAUACCGGCGAGAAAUCGCCGACAAUACCGCAUACGCUUCGCAAGAAGCAAAGUCGCAAGACGCCGGAGGAGGAGCCUGCGCCCGAUUAGCUGGUUGGUGAGGUAAGAGCUCACCAAGGCGACGAUCGGUAGCUGGUCUGAGAGGAUGAUCAGCCACACUGGGACUGAGACACGGCCCAGACUCCUACGGGAGGCAGCAGUAGGGAAUCUUGCGCAAUGGGCGAAAGCCUGACGCAGCGACGCCGCGUGCGGGAUGAAGGCCUUCGGGUCGUAAACCGCUUUCAGCAGGGACGAAUUGACGGUACCUGCAGAAGAAGGCCCGGCCAACUACGUGCCAGCAGCCGC